UACAGAGGUCUCGAGCGUUAGGCGGAAUCACUGGGCUUAAAGCGUGUGUAGGUGGAUGCCUAAGUACCUUGUGAAAUCCCACAGCUUAACUGUGGAACUGCUUGGUAUACUGGGUGUCUUGAGUCACUCAGGGGCGAGCGGAACAAAUGGUGGAGCGGUGAAAUGCGUAGAUAUCAUUUGGAACGCCAAUGGUGAAAACAGCUCGCUGGGGGUGCACUGACACUGAGACACGAAAGCCAGGGGAGCGAAGCGGG
rnacentral:rRNA from 1 species